AGCUGCCCGCGAGCUACCGGUAGCUCGCGAUCGAUGUGUUGGAGAGCCCUGAACUAGACGGUUAACUUCCAGUCAGAGAGUAUGGACCCUCGUCUAAAUGGAAUACUCGUGGAUUUUUAAUCAUGUAUGUGUUCGCUACAAUAAUUGACAUGAUGGAGCUUCAGUCUGCAGAGGAGCUGAUUGAAGAGAAACCAGAAUGGAGGCCAAUAAAUCGUUAAAAAAGGACGAUGCUGAGUGUCGUGAAGAUCCGUGUCCUCCAUGAAGUGCAGCAGAAAGAAGACGCCACACCUCCCAACGUGUCCAUCUCCAUCGAGCGAUCGGAGGGGCUUGAUGAGUGUAAAUGUUUGGCAAAGACCAUUUUUGAGGUACUUGAGAAUUUUCUUUUC